rnacentral:lncRNA from 12 species
GAAACAAUAUAAUACAAUAUAAUAACCAAUCAUACUUUCUGUUUUUUAUCCUAGAAAAUGGAAACCUAAACUAUUUUGUAACUGUUCUUUUCUCAAUUCACUUAUUUUAAUCGAGAGAAUGGCCAACUCUGGGAUUGACCACCCACAUGCAUUUUUGGCAAUUAUAUGUAGCAUGUCAUUGACCAAAAGAGUUAUCCUGCAAGAAAUAGUUGAGAAAUCAGGCUUAACCACAUAGAAGCCCGGGGAAUUAUUCCAAAAUCUCCUACCAGAGGCAAUCAUUGAAUCUUUGUGUGUUUGUUCAAAUUGGCUGCUGUUUUCUACAGGAAUAAAAGAAAGCCGGCAGGGCAACCACCAUGCCACCAGCUUCAAAACAGGAGAGGAAGACCCAGGAGAGCAAGGGAGCAGGCUCCUGAAGGCCAAGGCCUGAACAGAGGAGGCAACAACUGAGGAGAGUCUUUCUCUGGACUCCGUGCAAAGUUCACCAGGGAGCAGAACUGCUGAGAAGGGAAACCCACAGACAGAGAAGGUCACAGCAAAUGUGAGAGGAGUCUCUUGAAGUCUAUUGUUCCAAAUACUCCAAUUCUGCUUGUCAAGGAUGCCUGGAGAGGGGCACUGAAGAGAAUAGCAAUGAAUAGGACAACCCUAGAGAAGAGAGAACAGCUUCCUUGCUAAAAUCAACAUCAUCCUAAUUUUCAUAGAACUACCACACACUGUGGUGGGCGGGGGAGGCUUUUAAUCUACACAAGAAUGAGUCCAGAGGAAUUAAGUGAUGUCAAUUCUUUGAGAGAACAGGUACCCUGCUGCUCUGUGCUGUUCUCCAGCUUGUACAAGUCUUUCCUCUUCAUCAAUGCCCUCAGCACCACACUAAGCAAUGAUUGGCACUUUCAAAAUGACCCUUCUUCCAAAAUCAAACUCCCACACAUUUAGGCUACAGAAGAAAAAUGUCCCAGUCAUCUGGUCCACAUGGGAGUGUGAAAAAAUAAUAACAUCUACUUAGGCAAUUGUAUGUUUACGAAUUUGGUAAUUGUUGCAAAUGGAUGAUGGUUUCAAAAGGCCUCUAGAAAAAAUAUUGGAAAAGAAUACUUUCUAGAGAUCCCAGGCUACCUCUCCUGACUCCCUGAGGCAUUCUCUAACAUAAAAAUUGCAGAACAGUGAAAUGAGGUGGUGAGUACUCUUUAAAAAUCAGAUGGAGUAUUGGUCAAAUGCUGCAGUGGCAAGAGGUGAUGCAUGGCAGCUGUCAGAGCUGCUUUGAGAUACCCAUUAAAGCUUGGCAUCGAUUACUUUCAAUAUUGAUCGGACUAUUUCUACCAGGACUAUUAACUCACAGAAAACAUUAAUCUAGGGACAAUCAACUUUUUUUGAAGUUGCUUUAUUUUUUUUUCUAGAAAUAAAUCUAAAUUGCCCUGUAUUUGAAUUUAAGAA